rnacentral:rRNA from 1 species
GAUGAACGCUGGCGGCGUGCCUAAUACAUGCAAGUCGAGCGAACAGACGAGGAGCUUGCUCCUCUGACGUUAGCGGCGGACGGGUGAGUAACACGUGGAUAACCUACCUAUAAGACUGGGAUAACUUCGGGAAACCGGAGCUAAUACCGGAUAAUAUAUUGAACCGCAUGGUUCAAUAGUGAAAGACGGUUUUGCUGUCACUUAUAGAUGGAUCCGCGCCGCAUUAGCUAGUUGGUAAGGUAACGGCUUACCAAGGCAAGCAUGCGUAGCCGACCUGAGAGGGGGAUCGGCCACACUGGAGCUGGGACACGGUCCAGGCUCCUACGGGAGGCAGCAGUAGGGAAUCUUCCGCAAUGGGCGAAAGCCUGACGGAGCAACGCCGCGUGAGUGAUGAAGGUCUUCGGAUCGUAAAACUCUGUUAUUAGGGAAGAACAAAUGUGUAAGUAACUAUGCACGUCUUGACGGUACCUAAUCAGAAAGCCACGGCUAACUACGUG